rnacentral:misc_RNA from 1 species
AACCUGCUAGACGCCCAGCGAGAGCCUCUGCCCUAUCUACCUUCAUUAUAGUAAAGCGUUAACAUCCAGUAUCCCAUUGCUAUCUAUGAUUGUCACCGCUUAAAAAUUACUUGUGAUCAAAUCAUCUGCGAUUGUUGUUACUUUUGCUGCUUAAACAACCAUGACAGUCGCGCAGCAGUUCGAAUGAAAUGCAAAGUUGGCAAUUUAAGUCAGUGU